AUGAUGAUGUUGAGUUGGUGAAGCGCUUGCCUCUGAAACAAAAUCAGACUCUCGAUGGUCGUCUUCCCUCUUAGGACUGCCUACCAUUAAGAUUUCUCUUGAUCUUUUACCACCUGCUUCGAUUAAUAUGGUUUCAACAGCUUGUCUUUCUUCAACAGUAUCCCAGUCUGGUCUAUUAUGUCAAGCGAUCGACAAGCUUCAUGAAAUGGAGUGUCCCCUUUUGAGAUCUGCUCACCAGCCAUGUAAGGAAACCAUUCGGUGAUUUUCUUGGCCACUUGGAUGCGUCCAUGGACUGAAGCAAGGUGUAACACUGUGUUUGAGGAAUCAGUUAUUCUUUGCUGGAGAAUUGAUUUAUCCUCUUUAACUAGCUCGAGAAAUUAAAUGCGUCCGUUUUAUCUUCAACAGUUGCUUGAACUAGCCUUCCAUCCAUUUUAUUCUGUUUAAUUCUAACAAGCUCAGCUCCUCAAGA
rnacentral:misc_RNA from 1 species